AUUGAACGCUGGCGGCAGGCCUAACACAUGCAAGUCGAACGGUAACAGGAAGAAGCUUGCUUCUUUGCUGACGAGUGGCGGACGGGUGAGUAAUGUCUGGGAAACUGCCUGAUGGAGGGGGAUAACUACUGGAAACGGUAGCUAAUACCGCAUAACGUCGCAAGACCAAAAAGGGGGACCUUCUGGCCUCUUGCCCUCGUAUGUGCCCAGAUGGGAUUAGCUAGUAGGUGGGGUAACGGCUCACCUAGGCGACGAUCCCUAGCUGGUCUGAGAGGAUGACCAGCCACACUGGAACUGAGACACGGUCCAGACUCCUACGGGAGGCAGCAGUGGGGAAUAUUGCACAAUGGGCGCAAGCCUGAUGCAGCCAUGCCGCGUGUAUGAAGAAGGACUUCGGGUUGUAAAGUACUUUCAGCGGGGAGGAAGGGAGUAAAGUUAAUACCUUUGCUCAUUGGCGUUACCCGCAGAAGAAGCACCGGCUAACUACGUG
rnacentral:rRNA from 1 species